CUUUUAAUCUUUUUAAUUCACUUCCGUUCCGCGACCUACACAAGUUCAACAACCUAUAACAGAUUAAUCCGCAAAUCGUCCUUUUUUUUCACUUGAAACUCCAUAUCCGCUGAUCGCCUAAACCUAUCUUACAAACUUACAAUAUACAAACUGCAAAGGAAGAAGUGUAUCUACCAACUCGCGAAGAAGCCGGCCGGCGCAAGAAAAAACGUGACAUGAAGCAUGUGAUAAUAAUUAGUAUUUAACUGAAGGUGAAACCCAGCCAUCCGCCAAACUAAACUAUACCAAUACGACCAUACAAAGAAAAAGAGGAAGUUGCUGAACCGUCCAGAGUUUCGAAAUGUAACAUUACAAGGAAUUCUAUUCGUAAAACGACCAGAGCGACAAUAAAUACUGCCAAUGAAGUGGUUAAAUCUCAAGAUGGACCAGCAGAAGACACGAAGCAGAAGAAAAAUUCUCUUGGUUCAUGGUGUCCCUGAAGCUGCAAAGGAAGAUGUCCCCGCAGUUGUAUUUUUUUUUUUAUUCUUUACAUGUUAGCCCUUGACUACAAUCUCACGUGAUGGUGAGUGCAGUCUAAGAUGGAAACGGGCUAACUUGUUAGGAGGAGGAUGAAAAUCCACACUCCUUUCGGUUUUUACACAACAUCAUACCGGUACGCUAAAUUGCUUGGCGGUACGUCUUUGCCGGUAGGGUGGUAACUAGCCACAGCCAAGGCCCCCCACCAGCCAGACCAGGACCAAUUAAGAAAAUCUCAAUCUGCCCAGCUGGGGAUCGAACCCAGGACCUCUGUUUUGUAAAUCCACCGCGCAUACCACUGCGCCACGGAGGCCGUCAAUAUUCAAAGUUCUUAAAGAUCAUCUUCAACUUCCUGAGCUCUCAGCAGCAUCUUUAUGUCAGUGUUAUCGUUUGGGCCAAGAUAGUAAUGAUACACCCAGGGCUAUUUUGUUGAAGCUGGACUUACUCUUGUGAAUCAAGAUUUGGUAUUCAAAAAAACUCUUCAAGUCACAGGAUACACAUUGGCUGAAUUUCUAACGAAGAACCGACAUGAGGCUAUUAUGAAGCCAACCAGAAUCUCCAAGUGCUGGACAAAGGAUGGCCUUAUAAUUGUUUUUGGUCCGGAUGGGAAAAAACACUCUAUAACAACAAAGGCUGAACUGUGCGCCAUUUGCCCUCGCAGUACUGGUGAACCAACUGUAAGUGCCCUGGCUGGUGCUGCUGCUUUUGUGACCAAGUAUCAAGCUGGUAAUUCACAAAUUCUGAGGUCACAAAGACUAAUGAAAAAAUAAGUCAUUCUUUUCAUAUACUAAUGACAUUGAUAGUAUUAUUGAUGCUCUGCCAACGGUAAUGUAUUAGAUUAUUAUCUUGGUAGAAAUAUUCAUAAAUCCUUUUUUUUUUGGUUGUGUUAUGUUUAUAUAGGUUUCUGUAGUCAAUAAUUUUUGCUAACUUUAUCAUUUAAUCAAUCCCCAAUCACUGAUUCUUAUUUUACCCACAGGUUUUCAUAAUUUAUUUUGUAUUAUACUUACAGCCUCAAUAGUACAGUAGCAAUUUAUAGUACUUCAACAUUUUUGGUUUCUUUGUUUAUUUUAAAAGCGAUUUCCUUACAGACACUGUUUGUAUGUAGGGAAUUUUGUUGGUACAAGGGAAUACCAUUAAAUCUUUAUAUAUAUAUUUUUUAUUCGUCCUAUAUCUCUGGAUAUAUAUAAUGAAUAUAUACAUACACAUUAUAUAUAUCCAUAUAUAUAAUGCAUUAUUAUAUAAUCACUUACUGGCGCCAACAUGACUACAUAUUUUGACAAUCAGAAUGAAAGCAAUUCAGAUAGUAUUGAAGAUAUUUAUAUUUCAGACUUGUCUCAGUCUGGUGGCAGCUUCCAGGGUGCAGAUAUACCUCUUUGUUCUGUGCAAACAAAAAAUUGUAAAUACACAAGAGUAUUCUAUCUCAUUAUUCAGAUUUCUGGUCAACAUUAAAUAACAUCAAUUUGCAUGCAAUCUUGGUCGGAAUCUUUUCUAAAACCUUGUAUUCCUUCAACUUCUUAUUGUUAACCUGGAUUUAAUCUAAUAAGAAAUGAUUGUAAGGGCAAGAGUGGGGGUGGGUUAUGCAUUUAUUUGCAAAGUCACAUUCCUUAUAGAUUACAGUAUUAUAAUCAGAGAAACCCCAAGCAGCUCGCUCUAUCGUCCGCUGAGUAUCCUAUCUCCUAUAUAAUAGCGUACCGCGACUUCGUUCGCAUGAAAAUCGAUGUAAACUUUCAACCCCUAUUUUACACACUACUAUUUAUAUUUUUCAAGUUUUUUAAAGUAUAAUAAAUAGUCCACUAAUUUUACAUUUACAAAUAUAUCUUAAAAACUAAAGGAAUUUUCAUACAAACGUUCUACCCCUAGUUCACCCCUUUUGAUUUACGCGUCCUUUCGGGAACAGAAACUAUGCGGGAGAAACCGCUGGGCGUCUUUUAGCGAUAUUUUUGCGUCUUUUAGAAAUUUUGUAUUUUUCCGAAACAAUAAGCAAAUCUUAUAUCUAUUAUAUCUUCUUGAUUAUUAAGUAAUUCAUUUUGAUAAGGAUUUAAGUUUGGUUGUGUAAACAAUGACGUAAACCUUAUUACUAUAUCUGCUAAACUAUAGAAGAUAGAUAUAUGCUGUCGCGAUAUUUUUGUAGAAAAUGAUGUGUUCUGCAAAGUUGUAGUACAUUAUUUUAUUCUUACAUCAAUAGUUUUUGCAGCGCACGCCAUGUAAACUAAACUUUUGUACACCUUGGGAUACAUUAUUGGAAAGAAUCCUAAUUUUUUUAAGGUAAAACGACCAAAGCGACAGUAAAUACUGCCGAUGAAGUGGUUAAUUCUCAUAAAGGUACAUGGUGUUUAAUUUAUCUGAUCUUUUUUGAAUUAUUGUUUGCGUUCAUAAUAGAAGGAAAGCCUACCUUCAUUAUAACGGACUGUCUAUAACUACUAUAUAUAUGAACGACUAUAUAUAUGAAUAAAUGAGAACUAAUUCUUAAGUGUGCUCCUAAUACUUACUUACACUAUUUUACAAUGCAGUUAUGAUUUAAGUACAUUUUUUUUGAAUUGCAGAAACUAUACCUAUACCACCACAAAGUAAAAGAGAAAGUUGCAUAACCGUCCAGUUUUUCGAAAAGUAACAUGGAAUUCUAUUCGUAAAAAGAGCAAAGCGACGAUAAAUUCUGCCGAUGAAGUGAUUAAAUCUCAAGAAGAUACUAUACCAAACAAAGAAAAAGAGAAGGUUGCAGAACCGUCCAGUGUUUCGGAUUCUAACUUUACAAUAUACAGGCAGCCAAGUUUGAAACGCAAAUCUGGCAGCCAAGUUUGAAACGCAAAUCUGCACACGAUGGCGUUCCUUCGUCAAGUGUUUUGGAUUGCAACUUUACAAGACAGCCAAGUUUGAAACGCCAAUCUGCACACGAUUGCGUUCCUCCUUCCAGUGUUUCGAAUUGCAACUUUACAAGGCAGCCAAGUUUGAAAUGCAGAACCGUCCAGUGUUUUGAAAGGUAACAUUACAAGGAAUUCUAUUCGUAAAAAGACCAAAGUGACAAUAAAUACUGCCGAAGAAAAACUAUACCUUUACCACCAAACAAAGAAAAAGAGAAAGUUGCAGAACCGUCCAGUAUUUCGGAUUGUAACUUUAUAAGUCAGCCAAGUUUCAAAUCAAAUCAAAAAUCAUUUAUUUCAAGUAGGCUCAGUUUACAAGCACUUUUGACACGUCAGUUGACUAUUUGUUAAAAUUCUACCACCGGUUCGGAAGGCAGGUUCUGCUGAGAAGAUUCCUGCAAGAAACUCAACAGUUGCUCUUUUGAAAAAGUCAUACAGUAUUACAAUUUACAUUUGAUAACAAUUAAAUUACAAUUUCUUAUAGUUUUAUUUCCUGUGUGAAGGUGGAAGCUGAUCCAAUGGCCUCCAAGCACCUUUGUCGUUAAGGAAAUCGAAACGCAAAUCUGCACACUUUGACGUUCCUCCUUCCAGUAUUUCAGAUUGUAACUUUACUAAGCAGCCAAGUUUGAAACGCAAAUCUGACAGCCAAGUUUGAAACGCAAAUCUGACAGCCAAGUUUGAAAUGCAAAUCUGCACACGAUGGCGUUCCUUCGUCAAGUGUUUCGGAUUGCAACUUUACAAGACAGCCAAGUUUGAAACGCCAAUCUGCACACGAUUGCGUUCCGCCGUCCAGUGUUUCGAAUUGCAACUUUACAAGGCAGCCAAGUUUGAAAUGCAAAUCUGCACACUUUGGCGUACCUCUGUCCAGUGUUUUGGAUUGUAACUUUACAAGGCAGCUAAGUUUGAAACGCAAAUCUGCACACUUUGGCGUACCUCUGUCCAGUGUUUUGGAUUGUAACUUUACAAGGCAGCCAAGUUUGAAACGCAAAUCUGCACACUUUGGCGUACCUCUGUCCAGUAUUUUGGAUUGUAACUUUACAAGGCAGCCAAGUUUGAAACGCAAAUCUGCACACUUUGCCGUUCCUCCGUCCAGUGUUUUGGAUUGUAACUUUAAAAUACAGCCAAGUUCGAAACGCAAAUCUUCACACGUUGGCGUUGACAUUCAGGUGAAUAAGGUCAAUAUUAACUAAUCUAUAAAGCUGAAGAAAGAAUACCACCAAACAAAGAAAAAGAGAAAGUUGCUGAACCGUCCACGUCGAGUGUUUUGAAAAGAAACAUUACAAGGAAUUCUAUUCGUAAAAAGACCAAAGUGACAUUAAGAGCGCGCAGCGCGUCGGUACGAUAUGGAUAAAAUUCGAAAAAUAAAAUUCGCAAACGAGACGCCGAAUUAUGACUUUCACGUGAGUGAAAAGCACGGAGCGAUUGACGCGCGACGCAAAUUUUAUGACGUGAGCGCCAAAACCAUUUUUACCUAAUUGCAAGUAAAUUAAACAACAUAACGAACAAAAUGGCCAUGUUCAAGAUAUAUACUUAAUUUUCUAUACAAAACAAAAAUUUAAGAAAAUAAGUUUGCUUUUCCUGAGAUUGAAGGCAAAAUGUGAGCAAUACAUAUAUUUUUCAAAAAAAUAAACUAUCGAGAAAAGUUUUAUAAAUUGUGUACUUUGUAUAGUCAUAACGAAGCUAACACUUUGAAAUAUCAUUUACCCAAAUAUCAGGCUCCUAACUUUUCCAGAAUCUGAGAUCCAGAACCAUUUACAUAUUGCACACUCUUAAAUACUGCCGAUGGAGUGGUUAAAUCUCAUGAAGAAACUAUACCUGUACCAAAAACAAAAAAAAAGAAAUUUGCAGAACCGUCCAGUUUUUCGAAAAGUACAUUACAUGGAAUUCUAUUCGUAAAAGGACUAAAGCGAAAAUGAAUUCUGCCGAUGAAGUGGUUAAAUCUCAUGAAGGUAAGUACAUGGUUUUUUAUUUAUCUAACCUAUUUAGAAUUAUUAUUUGCGUUCCCAAUAGAAGUAAAGCCUACUUUAAUUAUUCCUGACUGACUAUAACUAUUAUUUAAAUUAAUCUAUACUAAUAUUAUAAAGCUGAAGAGUUUGUUUGUUUGUUUGAUUGAACGCGCUAAUCUCAGGAACUGCUAGACCGAUUUGAAAAAUAAUUUCAGUGAUAGAUUUAUCGAGGAAGGCUAUAGACUAUAUUACCUAUAUUUUCAAAAAAAAUAGGGAACCUUCCUGAAACUCCAAUAAUAUAACCCAAGGUGUACAAAAGUUUUAUUUACAUGGCGUGCGCUGCAAAAACUAUUGAUGUUAGAAUAAAAUAAUGUACUACAACUUUGCAGAACACAUCAUUUUCUUUAACAAGUGUCGCGACAGAAUAUAUCUAUCUUCUAUAUUUUAGCAGAUAUAGUACCUUUUGUACUUUAAUAAAAUAUUUUAAUCAUUUACUAAGGUUUACGUCAUUGUUUACACAACUAAACUUAAAUCCUUAUCAAAAUGAAUUAUUUAUAUUUUUGUAUUAUUAUUAUUAUUACUUUGUAUAUUUUAUAUUGGGUAAAUACCUUUAAAUAAAAAUCAUUAUUAUUAUUAUUAUUAUUAUUUAGUAGUAUGGUUUUUCAUUUAUUUGUUUUUAAGAUGAGUGAUACGAGCGAAAAUUUAACGAUUAAAUUAAAACUGUAAGUCGAGAGAAAAGUACCUAAAAGCUUAUGCUACACAUCUUGUAUUUUUUCGCUAUUGAGGUGAAAAGUUGUAUGUAUCACACGAGAGCAAAGUAUUUGUCUCUUGUGCCUUUGAAUCCCUCAUUACGCUCAGGAUUCUAACCUAAAAUCACUCGCUGAGCUCGUGAUUCAAUUAUAGAAUGCGAUUCGCUUGUUCGGGAUUCAAACUAGGCACUCGACGAACAAAUUCAAACUUUGCUUACUUGUUGAACAAAUAACUUUUCUUUAACAAAGGAUUUUUCAAAACCCUCUACUUAAGUUAUCUUUAUACAAGUCUUUAAUAAGGCCUCAGUUAGAGUAUGCGUGUUGUAUAUGGAACAAUUUUUACGACAAAUACAAAAACCAGAUAGAAAUGCAUUACAGAUGUUAUAGAUCAAGACUCCCUUACGCUGAGCUACUAACUAAAUACUAUCUUCUAACUCUUGAAUCUAGACGCAAGUUGCUUGAAGCAAUGGUAUUGCAUGGACUCAUCAACAAUAAAUACGAUUGUCCUGACUUAGUAUGUAAGUUAUCACUAAAUGUUUUGAAGUACGCUGGUCAACGUCGGGUGUUUUUCUGUAUUCUGAGCAUUUCGCGGUAAUCAGCAAGUGUCGUGUUACGCAUUUUACAUACCUACCUACACAAAACGUAUUGUUUAACAGAAGAAUGUCUAAACUAAAACGCUGGUUAAAAAGUAAAAGAUAUUUUGUUUUGGAAUAUAAUUUGGUCCUGUUUCACUUAAGUUUUGUUCCUAAUUAAUAGAUCAUGCAAUGUAUUAGUGAUAAGCCUGUGUGAGAUGCACUUAUGUGUGUAUACUUACUUGACCACGUACUUGACCUCCUGCAUUGUUGGCUAUUCUUUUUUGUGAUUAGUCGUUUAAGCCGCUUUCGAUGAGGAAAAACAUUUUAAUAUGUUGACGUUACUUACCGAUGUCCAUGAUGUAUUUAAAACUUAAACUAUAUAUGAAGUACCCUACACUAAUCCAUAAUGUUCUUAUGGAGUCUUCUAAUAUUAUUGUUACGUCUUAUUUCUCUCACGGUCAAAAUAAACGUCAGUAGCGGUAUUAAAUCGUCGAAAAGAUUGAUAUAAAUAAUAAAAUAAAAAUAUGUAAAGUGACAUGUCAUAUGUCAUGUAAGUAAAUAUUGCUAUGACAACCUUAGAUACAUAGAUAUUCGAAAAAUGGCGAUCUUAUUAAAGACAAAAUAGUAUUUUAUUUUUUAUUAGUUUUUAUUGACGGUGUUUUCGUGAUAUCUUAUAAAUGAAAAUAACAUUUAUAAAUUAAACAAUGAAUUAUAUUCAUGAAAAUCUUGUGACUCAACUUGGAUUUACUCAGUUUAGCGAUACAGCUUUUGCCCAUUUUCCUUUACUUUUUAAAAAAUAUUCCGCCUUUUAAAAGCAGACUGUCGCAAUUAUUGAUUAAUAAUAAACAAUUAAUUCUAUAAUUUUUUCUUUUGUUUUCUUUUGUGACUGCUUGCUUUUGAGAUUACAUUAUUUUUCUUCUGAGAUUACACUACUGUAUUUUUGUUUUUUAGUGAUAUAAUUAUUUUUGUGUGACUAAUUGUAUAUGUUCUGUUCUUCCCUCCUAAGGGUCUGACAGAAUACCAGCGUUGUGGGUACUGAUGUACUCACAACAAAUUUUAGCUGAGUCAGGUCCAUUUUUUGACACAACAUAUUUUCUAAGUUUAUUAGUUAUUAGUUAAGUAUUAUUUUAUUAGUUUUAAGUUAUAAUUACGAUAUAAAUGUAUUAGUUUUAAGUUAUUAUGUAGUUAUGUGUUGUGCUAACAAAUAAAUGAUUUCUAUUCUA